AUUUGAGUUUACUUCUGGGUUCUCUAUUAUGUUUCAUUGGUCUAUGUGCUUAUUUUUAUACCAGUAUUAUGCUGUUUUGCUGACUAUGGGUUUGUAGUAUAGAUUGAAGUCAGGUAAUGUAAUGCCUCCAGAUUUGUUCUUUCUGCUUAGUCUUGCUUUGGCUAUGUGGGCUCGUUUUUUUUUUCCCAUAUGAAUUUUAGAAUUAUCAGGAGCCACCAGGUGCUGCAGCAGCUUUGGGAUAACUUGAGGGCGCAUCCUGGGGAAGAAACACCUCCUGUCCAUGGUGCUGACUGCUGAGGACAGUGCUUCGGCGUGGCUUCUCCGUGGCCCAGCUUCUUUGGGGCGUUUUUCUUUCAUGGUUCAUCCAUAUGGCUCCAAAUGAAAAUUACAUUAAUUAUGGAUGAAGAGUAUUGUGUUGUGCAGAUAUACUGCAGUUUCUUCAUCCCUUCAUCUAUGGAUGGACAGGUUCCACAGUGUUGCCACGGAUGACCUGAUUUCAGUACCCAUGUCUGGCUGAAGAGUAUCUGGUUGUGACUGGAUACUGCAGUUUCUGGAUCUCAUCCUCUGUGGGUGGACAGGUUUCUCCAUCUUGCUGGUAGUGAACUGAUGUCCGGAAGUUUGAUGGCCGAAGAGUAUACCGUUGUGCAUAUAUCCUUCAAUUCCUGAUUUUAUCAUCUGUAGAAAGACAAAAAUCUUCAGACUGAUUUCCACAGUUUGAGAUCUAGUUUGCAUUACCUCCAAGAGAAUAGCCAUGUUUGCUUUUCUCUGCUGCCACACCAGCAUGUUAUGUUUUGACUUAGGACAAAUGGCCACUCUGACCAGCGUGUGAUGGCACCGGUACCUCAUCUCUGAUGAUUGGUGAUGUUGAGCAUUCCCCAUGCCUGUUGGAAUGGCAAUCCCUUGGAAAUGUCUUCUCAAUAGUUACUACCCAUAGAGCCAAGGUGUUCUCAGGAGCCACCGUGUGCCACGGCAGCUUCGGGAUAACUUGAGGCUGCAUCCUGGGGAAGAAACACCUCCUGUCCGUGGCGCUGACGGCUGAGGACAGAGCUUUGGUGUGGCUUCUCUGCGGCUGGCUUCUUCGGGGAGUUCUUCCAUCAUGGUUCAUCCAUAUGGCUCCAAAUGAAAAUUACAUUAUUUUGUUAAGGAUGAAGAGUAUUAUUGCAUUGUGCAGAUACACUGCAGUGUCUUCAUCUCUUGAUGUGUGGUUGGAUAGGUUCCACAGUGUUGCCACAGAUGACGUGAUUUCAGUACCUGUGUAUGGCUGAAAAGUGUUUGUUUGUGAAUGGAUAUUGCGGUUUCUGGAUCUCAUCCUCUGCAGGUGGACAGGUUUCUCCACCUUGCUGGAAGUGACCUGAUAUCCAGAAGUUUGAUGGCUGAAGAGUAUACCAUUGUGCUUGCGUCCUUCAUUUCCUGCAUUUCUUCCUCCAUGGAUGGACAGAGGCUUCUCAAUGGCCUGAAAGCUCGGCUGACUCCCAGGAAGUUUGCCGGGAACACCAGGCUGUCAGUGACAUUUGUGGUUCCAAGACUUAUGCAGGUUGCACGCAUCCGCAACUGUCUGUGCCACGUGUACUGACACCACCAGAGAUGCGCACGCCGCACG
rnacentral:lncRNA from 1 species